GACGAACCGUGCGAACGUUAUUCGGAAUCACUGGGCUUAAAGCGCGUGUAGGCGGGCCGGCACGUCGGUCGCUGAAAUCCCCCGGCUCAACCGGGGAAGGGGCGCCGAUACGACCGGCCUGGAGGAACGUAGGGGGAGCUGGAACUUCCGGUGGAGCGGUGAAAUGCGUUGAGAUCGGAAGGAACGCCCGUGGCGAAAGCGAGCUCCUGGACGUUUUCUGACGCUGAGACGCGAAAGCCAGGGGAGCGAACGGG
rnacentral:rRNA from 1 species